AGAGGUGUAGCCCAAUGGUAUAGUACUUGUCUUACAUGCAGAAGGUCCCAGGUCCGAUCCCUGGCAUCUCCA